rnacentral:rRNA from 1 species
UACGGGGGGGGCAAGCGUUGUUCGGAAUUACUGGGCGUAAAGGGCUCGUAGGCGGCCAACUAAGUCGGAUGUGAAAUCCCCAGGCUCAACCUGGGAACUGCAUCCGAUACUGGAUGGCUUGAAUUCGGGAGAGGGAUGCAGAAUUCCAGGUGUAGCGGUGAAAUGCGUAGAUAUCUGGAGGAAUACCGGUGGCGAAGGCGGCAUCCUGGACCGACAUCGACGCUGAUGAGCGAAAGCUAGGGGAGCAAACGGG